CAGGCCAGGGCUGCUCUAUGAUCAGAGACAUGCCAGCUCUGGUUUUUAGGUUCUCUCUAUCCUACCAACACAGAAGCAUCCUAACACUCUGAAUUUGUCAUUAAUAAGGUAUCCUAAUUAUUCUACGGUGGUCUAGUUUCCAUACACCCUUAACCAGUGUCUCACUUUCACUCACAGACCUAAGUUCUAACAACCCAUGUUUCCCAUCAAUUAUCAAUGUCAUAUAAUUUCCAGUAAAUAAAACCACUUAACCAUAUCAGAUAUCAACCUAACACAAAUUAGUUCCAAUUACACGUAAUACCUCAUUCAACAGAUUCAACUUGACAUUCAAAGCACAUCAAACAUUCACCCA
rnacentral:lncRNA from 1 species